UACGAAGGGGGCUAGCGUUGCUCGGAAUGACUGGGCGUAAAGGGCGCGUAGGCGGUUUGUACAGUCAGGUGUGAAAUUCCCGGGCUCAACCUGGGGGCUACACUUGAUACGUAUGGACUGGAGUGGGGAAGAGGGUCGUGGAAUUCCCAGUGUAGAGGUGAAAUUCGUAGAUAUUGGGAAGAACACCGGUGGCGAAGGCGGCGACCUGGUCCUUGACUGACGCUGAGGCGCGAAAGCGUGGGGAGCAAACAGG
rnacentral:rRNA from 1 species